rnacentral:rRNA from 1 species
AUUGAACGCUGGCGGCAGGCCUAACACAUGCAAGUCGAGCGGAUGAAGGGUGCUUGCUCCUGGAUUCCGCGUGGGACGGGUGAGUGAUGCCUAGGAAUCUGCUUGGCAGUGGGGGAUAACGACCGGAAACAGGCGCUAAUACCGCAUAAGUCCUGAGGCAGAAAGAGGGGGGUGUUCGGACCUCACGCUAUCAGAUGAACCUAGGUCGGAUUGGCUAGGUGGUGGGGUGAAGGGCUACCAAGGAGGCCAUCCGCAACUGGUCUGCGAGGAUGAUCAGUCACACGGGAACUGAGACACGGUCCAGAGUCCUACGGGAGGCCGCAGUGGGCAAUAGUGGACAGUGGGCGGAAGCCUUGUCCAGCGAUGCCGAGUGUGUGAAGAAGGUCUUCGGAUUGUAAAGCAGUUUAAGUUGGGAGGAAGGGCAGUAAGUUGAUACCUUGCUGUUUUGACGGUACCAACUGAAUAAGCACCGGCUAACUUCGUG